GAAGGAGGGAGGAAGGGAGGAGAGGAAGGGAGGUGAAACAGUUUAAAGGAGGUGAUGGGCAGGAUAAGAGGAGCAUCUGUAAUUUCACCUUUCUCCCCCUCCUUUUCUCAGAGCCCCUCUUCUUGGGCCUGUGAUUCCUCACCUGGAAGGGAGAAGAGCAGACUUCCUGCCUGGAGAACACCUUGGUAAACUGCUCUUUAUCCUGUCAUGAGAAGGUGUGCAGCUUAGGGAAAAAGCCUGUGAGCUCUGGAAUCAGAUGGAACUGGGUGUAAGUUUCAGCUUAGUGCCUGUUGGAUUAAAUGUGAUGCUAGUAGGUACACAUGCCUGGUUGCUGCUCAAGAAAUGGAGCUGUUAUUAUUUACAUCGUAAUUUGAACUUCAUUCAUUCAGCCCUUACUGAUAAGCACCACAGGCCCUCCUUCCACAGGGCUCACCUUCAGAAAGUUCUACAUGUCCCUUACUUUCUGGUAGGCAUAUUCGGGGGCAUGUACCGUGAAGGCCCAGGGAUCUGGAGAUGAAGACAGAGUCCUGUCCGCUGAGGGGUUCACAUCUUUCCAUAAAACAUUCUGACCCUCCCUGUUUCUUCUCGUCUCCUCCUCCAAUCCCCCCUAGGCUGGGGCACUUCCUCUGCACUCUCUCUCUGGAAGCAGGGAGGGGAUUCCAACCUCCUCCAGUCCCCUGCCAGGUAUCCUGAGCCUGAGAGCCCCUCAGAGCAUGGUCUGCAGUUACCUCCUCACUUACAGGCCAGACUGAGAUGCUCGCCACUUGUGAUUGCCCAGGCAGAGGGGAGAGGUCAAACUCUUCCCAUGGCUUCCUUUCCCCUCUGUGAAAACUCCGAAUCUUUGCUCUUGAUUUUUUUUAGUGUGUACCCUUUUGCAUUUUAGCUUCUCCCAGCCGAAAGAAUAAAACUGGUAAGAGGAAGGGAAAUGCAGCCUCACUGAGAAGGCCUCCAUUCUGGGAGGGCUUCUCAGGCCCAGAGAAGGGAGAAAGUAAUUUGGAACUACCCAAGUAUUGGUGAUGCCAGGCUUCACCCUACCCUGGGGAUAUAUGAAUCUCAAAAAGGGGGCAUGGGGAUCUGACAAAGCACUUGCAUAUAUAAAGAACUCCUCCAAAUCAACAAGGCAAAAACAGUAGAUGCAUAGGCAAAAACCUUAGAAGAGCCACGUCACAAAGGAGGACCUCCAAAUGGCCAAGAAGCACAUGAAAAGAUGUUCAACCUCAUUAGCUAUCAGGGAAAUUCCCAUUAGAACUACACUGGGAUGGCUGAAAGUGCAAAGACUGACAAUAUCAAGGGCUGGUGAGGAUGUGGAGCAACUGGAACUCUCCUAUGCUGCUGGGGAAGGGGUAAAUUAAUACCAUCCCUUUGGAAGAACAGUUUGGAAGCAUCACUAAAGCUGAACAUAUUCAUGCCUACUCCAGAAAUCCUGAGCCCAGUGGCUCCCUUUGAAGAACCGCCUUGGGGUCCAUGUUGCAGCAUCAAACAGGGAUGGAAGAUGCAUCUUGCUUUAGCAGCAGGAGCCUGGAAAGCAGCUGAAGCCCUGGGGGGUGCCUGGCACACAGAAUCUUGUGCUGAGCCCGGAGCACAAUGGGAGUGGGCUAGCGGGGUGGGUUCACAGCUGGACUGGGAGCAGCAGACAUACAGGCCGUAGGCACAGACACAUAAAUACAGUCAUGCAGAUUGCAGGAUGCCUGAGAGCACAGACUCUCACAUGCACAAACACAUGCAUGAUCACCAAUGUGCAUCCAGACAGUAGCCCUACAUGCACGCACACGCAUGCACACAUGUGAUGUGUACAUAGAUGGACACAUGUCUAUGCCCGCAAACACUGCAGAGACACACACAAAAGUGUCUGGUAAGGAACACUAUUUUGUCCUCAAUUUUCUGCGAGCGAGAGUCUACUGACUCCAUCUCUGAAAUGUCCCUACUUAUUGUCCCUCUUCUCCACCUGUGCCACAGCCCUAGUCCCUGAAACUCCCACCAAGACCCCUGGGCAAUAGCAAAGUCAGGACAGGAUUCCUGCUCCACCUCUACCCCACCCUUAAGCCCAUCCUACAUGCAAGAGCAAGAGUUAUCUGGGUAUCAAGCAAAUCUAAACACAUCACCUCCCCACUGCUUAAAAUGCUUUCCUACAGGAUAAAGUUUAAAUCACUUGGCAUCCCAUAUAAGGCCCUUGACUGUCUGGUGUCAGCCAUAGUCUGGCCUCAGGCCCUGUCAUGGAGCCCCCUAGACUCAAUGCUCUGGCUGAGGGCCUCCAGGAUGAAGAUGCCCUGUGCAAAGUCUUACACUUUUGCCGUUGCUGGGCUACUAUGUGAAAUUCCCUCCUCCCUCCUUCCACUUUCCCUAUGCUGAACUGCCACUCCUCCAUCCUCCAUGGCCAGCUAAGCCAACACCUCCUACUUCCUCCUGACAACCCAGGCACAGCCUGUCCCAUGGCUGUCACAGCCCUUUCUUGGGCUCUCCAUGGUAUCAUUGUCACCUGUGUGCUCAUGAGCCUCCACCACUCAACUCCAAGCACAUCAAAUACAGAGCCCAAAACAUACUGGGUAUUCAACAAAUUUCUGGGUGUGAGGGAAUGAAUGAAUUAGUCUGUAAGACAGGAUCACGCUAGGUGAUUGUUCUGGCUACAGAACCUGGGCACGUCCUGUAUGUAACUGCUCUGAUCUCAGCCUCCACAUAGGUAAAAAGGGCUGUCUACCUCCUGGCAGAAUCUAUGGUUCAGACCAUGGAGAUGUAUAUAAAUAACUGAGCUGAGUGGCUACCAUGGUGGGCGCUCCACAGAUGACAGCCAUAGUUGCUGUCUUUAACUUCUAUUUUUAUUUCCACUGAAGUCUUUCCACUCAUGUUUCUUAAUUCUCCAUCUCCCUCACUGCUUAUCCAGUUCAGUGCUGGGCUCCCGGAACCGGCUCAUUGAAGGUGUGUUGUUGGAUUGAUCGGCUGAAUGGCUUCUUAAGGCUUGUUUCCAGUCUGGGAACUCUGAGCUGAGUACUGCUCUUCCUCCCUCCCAGCCUCCCCUGAGACUGGAAGCGGAGAGCCGUACAGAGAUCACUCCUCUUCCAGGCUCCAGAAGCUGAACAGCUGCUCUGUUUGGAGUUCUGUGCGCUGAGCUGAGUUAGGACCUGGGGGGACAGGAACAGCUGAGCCUUUCUGCUCCAAAAAGCAGAGUCAUUUCAGCCAGCCACCCAGCAGCUGCCUAGCUCCUCCCAGACACCCCCAGGGAUGCUGCACAUGUGGCUAGGGUUCCCAUAGGAACCUCUGUGGAGACCUGCCGUCCCUGCUUCCCCACAUCUCCUUUUGGACUUGUGAGAGAGGUUAGGAAGAGGAGGGGAGGGGAAAGGAUAGGACUGGCAGGCACUUUCGUACACAAACACCCAGUCUCUUAAUCCUCACAAUAACUCUAAGAAAUAUGCUAUUAUUAUCCUUGUUGUACUGACAAGGAAACUGAGGCCCAAAGACAUCUAACCCAAGUUCACCCAGGUAACAAACAAGAGAACUGGUCUGCCACCUUAUCAGUUUGUACUGAUGCAGUUAGUAUCAGUCAGUAUCAGCCAGGGAUCUUUGGUUGCAAGCAACGGAAACCAACUCCCACUAUCACAAACAAAAAAUUUACUGAAGGACUGUGGUGCCACACCAGAAGGAAAGGAAAAGCUGAAGACACAUGAUUGGAAAGGACAGGAAGCAGGGCAGCAUCAGGAUCUGGGUGCCAGGAAUGGACCAUCAUUUCAUUGGAAUAAAUAAACUUCUAUUUUUAAAUUC